rnacentral:rRNA from 1 species
UACAGAGGUCUCAAGCGUUGUUCGGAUUCAUUGGGCGUAAAGGGUGCGUAGGCGGCGCGGUAAGUCGGGUGUGAAAUCUCGGGGCUUAACUCCGAAACUGCAUUCGAUACUGCCGUGCUUUGAGGACUGGAGAGGAGACUGGAAUUUACGGUGUAGCGGUGAAAUGCGUAGAUAUCUGGAGGAACACCGGUGGCGAAGGCGGCAUCCUGGACCGGUAUUGACACUGAGGAGCGAAAGCCAGGGGAGCAAACGGG